CAGUCGCCGCGGUAAAACGAAGGGUGCAAGCGUUACUCGGAAUUACUGGGCGUAAAGCGUGCGUAGGUGGUGGUUUAAGUCCGUUGUGAAAGCCCUGGGCUCAACCUGGGAAUUGCAGUGGAUACUGGAUCACUAGAGUGUGGUAGUGGAUAGUGGAAUUUCCGGUGUAGCAGUGAAAUGCGUAGAGAUCGGAAGGAACAUCUGUGGCGAAGGCGACUAUCUGGGCCAACACUGACACUGAGGCACGAAAGCGUGGGGAGCAAACAGGAUUAGAGACCCCCGUAGUCCCUGUCUCUUAUAC
rnacentral:rRNA from 1 species